rnacentral:rRNA from 1 species
CAGUAGCCGCGGUAAAACGUAGGGUGCAAGCGUUAAUCGGAAUUACUGGGCGUAAAGCGUGCGCAGGCGGUUUGUUAAGACAGACGUGAAAUCCCCGGGCUCAACCUGGGAACUGCAUUUGUGGCUGGCAAGCUAGAGUGUGGCAGAGGGGGGUGGAAUUCCGCGUGUAGCAGUGAAAUGCGUAGAUGUGCGGAGGAACACCGAUGGCGAAGGCAGCCCCCUGGGCCAACACUGACGCUCAUGCACGAAAGCGUGGGGAGCAAACAGGAUUAGAUACCCCCGUAGUCCCUGUCUCUUAUAC